rnacentral:rRNA from 1 species
AUGAACGCUGGCGGCGUGCCUAAUACAUGCAAGUCGAGCGAACGGACGAGAAGCUUGCUUCUCUGAUGUUAGCGGCGGACGGGUGAGUAACACGUGGAUAACCUACCUAUAAGACUGGGAUAACUUCGGGAAACCGGAGCUAAUACCGGAUGAUAUUUUGAACCGCAUGGUUCAAAAGUGAAAGACGGUCUUGCUGUCACUUAUAGAUGGAUCCGCGCUGCAUUAGCUAGUUGGUAAGGUAACGGCUUACCAAGGCAACGAUGCAUAGCCGACCUGAGAGGGUGAUCGGCCACACUGGAACUGAGACACGGUCCAGACUCCUACGGGAGGCAGUAGUAGGGAAUCUUCCGCAAUGGGCGAAAGCCUGACGGAGCAACGCCGCGUGAGUGAUGAAGGUCUUCGGAUCGUAAAACUCUGUUAUUAGGGAAGAACAUAUGUGUAAGUAACUGUGCACAUCUUGACGGUACCUAAUCAGAAAGCCACGGCUAACUACGUG